AGUGAACGCUGGCGGUAGGCCUAACACAUGCCAGUCGAACGGCAGCACAGUAAGAGCUUGCUCUUACGGGUGGCGAGUGGCGGACGGGUGAGGAAUACAUCGGAAUCUACUUUUUCGUGGGUGAUAACGUAGGGAAACUUACGCUAAUACCGCAUACGACCUACGGGUGAAAGCAGGAGAUCUUCGGACCUUUCGCGAUUGAAUGAGCCGAUGUCGGAUUAGCUAGUUGGCGGGGUAAAGGCCCACCAAGGCGACGAUCCGUAGCUGGUCUGAGAGGAUGAUCAGCCACACUGGAACUGAGACACGGUCCAGACUCCUACGGGAGGCAGCAGUGGGGAAUAUUGGACAAUGGGCGAAAGCCUGAUCCAGCCAUACCGCGUGGGUGAAGAAGGCCUUCGGGUUGUAAAGCCCUUUUGUUGGGAAAGAAAAGCAGCAGGUUAAUACCCCGCUGUUCUGACGGUACCCAAAGAAUAAGCACCGGCUAACUUCGUG
rnacentral:rRNA from 1 species